rnacentral:miRNA from 8 species
CAGAGCUUGGCUGAUUGGUGAACG